GAUGAACGCUGGCGGCGUGCCUAAUACAUGCAAGUCGAGCGAACGGACGAGAAGCUUGCUUCUCUGAUGUUAGCGGCGGACGGGUGAGUAACACGUGGAUAACCUACCUAUAAGACUGGGAUAACUUCGGGAAACCGGAGCUAAUACCGGAUGAUAUUUUGAACCGCAUGGUUCAAAAGUGAAAGACGGUCUUGCUGUCACUUAUAGAUGGAUCCGCGCUGCAUUAGCUAGUUGGUAAGGUAACGGCUUACCAAGGCAACGAUGCAUAGCCGACCUGAGAGGGUGAUCGGCCACACUGGAACUGAGACACGGUCCAGACUCCUACGGGAGGCAGCAGUAGGGAAUCUUCCGCAAUGGGCGAGAGCCUGACGGAGCAACGCCGCGUGAGUGAUGAAGGUCUUCGGAUCGUAAAACUCUGUUAUUAGGGAAGAACAUAUGUGUAAGUAACUGUGCACAUCUUGACGGUACCUAAUCAGAAAGCCACGGCUAACUACGUGC
rnacentral:rRNA from 1 species